CACUAGUCUUUCAGCCUAGAGAGAUGAUAUAAACCCAGAAGACGCAUCACCAGUUCACAGAUAUCUACUUAUAAAUUCUGGGCCAUUGUUUCUCUCUACUGGAUAAGAAGUUAAUGUUUUUCUCUGAAGUAUAAAAAAGCAAACGACUUUGUGAAGUUUAUUUUUAAAAAGUGCCAAAUGGAAAUUGAAAUGCUUUUUGAAUUGUUUCCAUGUCUUGGCUGUUGGGAUUAAUGCCACAGCGAACAUGUGAGUACAAAUAUCUUUCCAAGAUCCUGAUUUCAGCUCUUUUGAAUAAAAUACCCAGAAGUGA